rnacentral:tRNA from 1 species
UGCCCCGUGGCUGAGUUGGUUACAGCGUCCGACUGUUAAUCUGCCAAUCGGAAGGUCGUGAGUUCGAGCCUCACCGGGGCAG